CUCUCUGCUCUAGUUCUGGCUACCAAGCUUAUUCCUUUAAUAGCAUUAGAGCCUAUUUCUUUGUAAUUUUGGCGAAUACUUAAAACUACCUAAGACAUCAAGCCUCAUGGCUGAACAACUACUGGAUAAGAUCACUUGAUCUUAGACAAAAGGCUGAGAAUCAGUCUCCUGGAUUCUUCAGUUUUCAUUGGUAGGCAACCAUUUUUAGAUGACCUGGACCACAGCUUGUGAGACAGUUUAAUGAGCCCACUUUUUACAUAAUGGUGAGCUUCGUUCUACCUGUCCUGCUCAUGUAAAGAAUCUUGAAUACUGCAGUUGUAUAUUUUAUUCACCUGACCAUGUGGAGGGAGAUCUGCUGGCUGGCAAUAGUGCUCAUGAAGACAUUCUUCCUAGUUCCAUUAUUUUCUACAUAUUCAAAUUUCCAUGAACACUACUCUUUUGAUUUUUAUUCAUUUGCCUGGAGCUUGCUUUGGACUUCAGGAAUAAAACUCACAAAGCAAUGGAGCCAUCAUCCAGCUUUCUGAUGGGGGAAAAACCUGUCAUUUUGUUUAAGAUCUGGUUCCUGUUUUCCUCUUUUCUGUUGUGUGAAAUCCCUCUGAAAACCAUGUAAAAAGUAUCUUCAAUUUAUCCAACCUAAGCAUGAAGCAAGCCACAGAACAAACAUCUCCUUUUGUGACCUUAAAACUAUCUUUGACUGUUAAUAUUCUGGCCAUUCUUCCACAUGUGGGACAGGAAAUCCCUGCACCCACCUAGCACAGUGCACUGUGCAAGCCAACUAGCCACAAUGUGUCCUGGAGGAAAAAUGGAAAGUUCCUAUGGAGUUCAGGAAGAUGACAGUGUCUGCUUUUGGAGCCAGGGGAAAGUGCAAUUAAAAUGCAUAUCUUGGCUGAUCUAGAAAAGAUCAUUGACUGAAAUGGCCAGGAAUAACUGUGCUGUAUCUUUAAGCACACUAUAGUCCCAAGGGAGGUGUUCUUGUCACUCAGGCCUCACUAGCCAAUCCGGUCCUCCAGAUGACCUGCCAGUCAGAAGCAUUGCAGGGCUCUUCCGGGCACCCGCCUUCAGACUCUGCUUCACAGAGGCGCUGGCGGCAGUGGUUUCGUGUGCUGCGGUGAAGUUGCUGCUGCAGGGAGAUGAUGAACUGAGAGCUUUGGCGAUCUGGAGAAACCACAACAUGGAUGCUGGAGAACAUGUUAACACCAGUGGAUUCCAUGAUUGUGGGCCCAUUCUCAUGCUUCUCUGGCUGUGAAGUGAGUUCCCUGGUCAGAAGCAAUACUGUGUGGAAUUCCAUGCUCCUGAGUAAGAAAUUGUACAAAUGCAUUGACGAUGGUUUUGCAGAAGCAUUGCCUGUAGGAAAGGCAAAUCCAUAACCAGAAUCUUAUGGUAAAAUAUGAACAUGCCAGAGGCAAUUCUUUCCAUCAUUUUUGUAAUUUACAUAUGUUCCUACAUGACUUUGAGGUAAGAAUGUCCCUAACUCUGUUUUUACAUUGUGAUCAUCUUCAGAAGUGGAUUUGUUAACCGAGCAUGCUGAAGAAAAGGGAGAAAAUUAUAUGACCCUGGUAAGACUCCCUAUGUAAAAUCCUCAUGAUUCCUUUGUUGAGAAAAAACACUGUUUUAAAAAUAACUUCCAGUCACUUCACACCUCCUGCAGGUAAGACUUUUUUCUAAUUUUUUUCUGUCUUGAAUUUUGAGAUGGCUAAUUUUGGUAGUCAAACUGACUACCUCUGGAAUUAACUAAUACACAAAAAAUUGAGUAUAGCUGAGAGAAAUUUUACUUAGAGGUUUUAAAUCGGAAAACCCUCCAUUAAUCUGUAUAAUUUGAGAUGACAGGAUCCACCUUUAUCUGCUUGGUAUCAGUGCACACUUUUAACACCAACACAUAAGAUUCAGAGGCAGUGAGCUUUUCAGAGUUUGAGACCAAUCUGGCCUACAGAAUGAGUUCCACAGCUACACAGAUAAAUACUGUUUUGAAAUCACCAAAAAAAAAAAAAAAAUCUGAAUCAAACAAAGUCUAUGAUCUAACUUUAACCAGGAUCUUACCUUCUGGUAGCAACAGUCACAGUUAAAGUAUAUUGAAGAAAAAAGUUUCUUUUUGGCCUCCGUGCUCUCGCUCUGGCUUCCUAACUCCUUCCUUUCCUAGCAGUACUUCUAGGAAAGUACUGCCUACUUCUUUGAAAUUUUGAAAUUUUGGUGUAUACUUAAAAGCAGCUGAGACAUUGAGCCUCAUAGGCUGAAAAACUCCUGGAUUUUUCACUUGAUCUCAGGCAAAAGGCUGAGAAACAAUCUGCUGGAUUCUUCAAUUUUCAUUGGUGGGCAGCUAUUUUUAGACAACCUGGACUACAACUUGAGAAACAUUCGAAUAAGCCCACUUUUUAUAUACAUGGCAAGAUUCGUUCUACCUGUCCUGUUCAUGUAGGGAAUAUUGAAAAAUGCAGUUGUUUAUUUAUUUACCUGACCAUGGAGGAAGAUGUGCUGGCUAGCAAUAGUGCUCAUGAAGACAUUCUUCCUAGCUCCAUCCUUCUCUACAUAUUCUGGAGGGAAAAUGGAAAGUUCCAGUGGAGUGCAAGAAGAUGAUAGUGUGUGCUUUUGGUGUCCUGGGCAAGAGCUAUUGAAAUACAUAUGUUUGUAGAUCUAGAAAAGAUCUUUGACUGGGGUGGGAGGAAUGGCCAGGAACCACUGUGCUGUGUCUUUAAGUACACUAUAGCCCUAUGGGAUGUGUUCUUGUCACUCAGACAUUACUGCCCAAUCAGGCCCUCCAGAUGACCUACGAGUCAGAAGCAGUAGAGGGCUCUUCCAGGCACGAGCCUUCAGACUCAGCUUUGCAGAGGAGCUGAUGCCAGUGGUUUCAGGUGCUGUGCUGCAGUUGCUGCUGCAGGGAGAUGAUGAACUGAGAGCUUUGGCGAGCUGGAAAACCACAACAUG